UACGGAGGGUGCAAACGUUGCUCGGAAUCAUUGGGCGUAAAGCGCACGUAGGCGGCUUGUUAAGUCGGAUGUGAAAGCCCUCGGCUCAACCGAGGAAGUGCAUACGAAACUGGCGAGCUUGAAUAUGGAAGAGGGUCGCGGAAUUCCCGGUGUAGAGGUGAAAUUCGUAGAUAUCGGGAGGAACACCAGUGGCGAAGGCGGCUCUCUGGGACGGUACUGACGCUGAGACGCGAAAGCGUGGGGAGCGAACAGG
rnacentral:rRNA from 1 species